rnacentral:rRNA from 1 species
AUCUAUGGCCAUACCACUUUGAACAUGCCUGAUCUCAUUUCAUCUUCGAAGCUAAGCAGGGUCGGACCUGGUCAGUACUUGGAAGGGAGAAACCAUUAUGUAAAAGUCGUGUUGUAUGAG